rnacentral:rRNA from 1 species
AGCGAAUAGAUACCCGGGUAGUCCCAGCCGUAAACGAUGCUCGCUAGGUGUCAGGCAUGGCGCGACCGUGUCUGGUGCCGCAGGGAAGCCGUGAAGCGAGCCACCUGGGAAGUACGGCCGCAAGGCUGAAACUUAAAGGAAUUGGCGGGGGAGCACAACAACGGGUGGAGCCUGCGGUUUAAUUGGACUCAACGCCGGACAACUCACCGGGGGCGACAGCAAUAUGUAGGCCAAGCUGAAGACUUUGCCUGAAUCGCUGAGAGGAGGUGCAUGGCCGUCGCCAGUUCGUACUGUGAAGCAUCCUGUUAAGUCAGGCAACGAGCGAGACCCGUGCCCACUGUUACCAGCAUGUCCUCGGUAC